rnacentral:rRNA from 1 species
UACAGAGACUGCAAGCGUUAUUCGGAUUCACUGGGCGUAAAGGGUGCGCAGGCGGUUGUGUGUGUCAGGUGUGAAAGCCCGGGGCUUAACCCCGGAAUUGCGCCUGAAACUACAUGACUAGAGCAUUGGGGAGGGUAGCGGAAUUCACGGUGUAGCAGUGAAAUGCGUAGAUAUCAGGAGGAACACCUGUGGUGUAGACAGCUUACUGGACCAUUUCUGACGCUGAGACACGAAAGCGUGGGUAGCAAACAGG